rnacentral:lncRNA from 1 species
AUGGCCAUUCUUCUCUUCAACCUGAUUGGCAAGCCAUUCCUGCUGGAGCACAAGAGAGACUGCUAUAGAAGCCCACCUCUCUGGGAGAGCUGCCUUUUGCUGGGAGACUGUCAGUAAAGGGUUAUC